AUUCAGAAAGAAGUAGGAGGGCUUCAGGGAUUCAGCGGAGGAGACUGAAAGCCUGAGAGACGAUGCCUCUGAGAAGGUUACAGGCAAGCAGCAGGCUCUCCCACUUAGACAAGUGGAGGGGGAUAUAAGCAAACAAAGUUGGGGUGAUGGGGGGAAGGAGGCUUCUGGUCCUCUCAGUGUUUGUGUGGAAAGGUCACUCUCACUGCAGCCCAAUGACGUGCUGUGCAGGCCAAUGGGAGUCCAGGCUGUCUUUCCUGUGAAGACCCAGCACUUUGCUCAUUCAUGGAACCUGCCAGUCUCUUUGGCAAUGUGUUUUAUUGAAACCCUAUGCUUUUCUUUGAAUUUGGUAGUAGCUAUGGCCCCCUUGACUCUUGUUACUGUCUGUGGUCCUAACACGCGGAUACAAUACAUCUCUCAGCUCUGUGCUGAUCAGGCGUUUGCCAGUUCUGUCUUGGCAGGAGAGUCUAGGUUCCUGGGAUGACCGGUCGGAGCCUCUCUGAUUACAGCGAUGAUAGUUGCUCUGGGUGGGCAGGGAGUGUACAGCAGGAUGCCGUAGCCCGUGCUUAGCCGCAGCCCCAUCGGAGAGUCCUCUCAGUCUGCUAUGGUAGAGAUCAGAUUUUCUUUUCCAGACCUUGGGAGAAAGCGCUUUCACCUCCUCACCACAGACACUCUCGACUGUGGACUCAGGACACUAAGCCAGAAAGGUGACGAUUUCCUUCUUGAACCCGGCCUGCAUCAGCAGCUCAGACCCAGGGCUCCGGGUCCUUUGCUCUAUGUCCAGUGCUCUUUUUGCUCCCUCACACACUUAGCGAUGGCAGUGUUCUUAGUAUACUCAAAGAGCUUUGUAAUGAAUUAGAGCAGCCAUUCCCAACCUUCCUAGUGCUGCGGUCCUUUAAUACAGUUUCUUAAGUUGUGGCGAACCAUCCCCCCCACCCCCAACCAUAACAUUAUUCUUGCUGCUGCUGUUAUGAAUCGUAAUGAAACAUUUGAUCUGCAGUACAUCUGAUAUGUGAUUCCCGAGAAAGGGCCAUCAUAUUCCAAGGGAUCGGGACCCACAGCGUGAGAAGCCCUGAACUAGAGAUCCGCCUAAACUGAGAAACAACCUAGCACCUAUCCCAGCCCAUCAAUGUUGUAUAUGGCAACAGAUUCAAAAGCCCAGACUAAAACAUACUCACCAUCCAUGUUACCAGCUCUCACCAUGGGGCAGCAAUGUGGAUUUAGUAAGCAUAGCCCACGGGCACUCAUUUUGAAGACACUAGGAGAACUUCAAAGCCAGGUUUGUUCUUCUGCCUCUGGUGACAUUUUUAAAAUUUCAGCACUGUUUUUUUUUUUAAUUGAUUCUUUGUGAAUUUCAUAUCAUGCACCUCAGUCCUGCACAUCUCCUGUCCCCUCCCUCCCUCCAACCUCCACCCUUCCCCAACAAAGAAAAAUAAGUCCCCACUAUGGAAGCUGUAGUGUGCCAUCGUGUGUCCUUUUGUCCACACUUCUUUGCUUGCAAGUGCUCAUUGCAUUGACUUUGUUGGUCUGGUACGAGUCAGGCCUCUGGCUUCUGCUAUGCUAACGAUGCUAGAACCUUACUGAGACUCCUCUAGGGUAGACUGUUGUCACCCCGUGUGUCAUGGAGACCCUGUAGUUUUGGAUCUGCAGGACUGGCUUCUUCACGUACUCCAGCAGUUCAUUGAUGGGAUAGACGUGGGGUGGGCUAACUCAAAGCCCUGGAUCUGGGCCUGAGAGGUGUCUGAGCUGCUCAGCCCACCAGCUCUCCAGUUCUUGUGGCCUUUGGAUUGGCUCGCCAGCAACCCCCUCUCCCAGGGCUAGCUCUCCUGGCUGACCAGGAACCUGACAAGACUGACUAGCCAUCUCUAGCAUUCAGAUAGGUGGAACUUCAUUGUGCUGAAGUUAUGUUUGAGCACCCUCUGCUGGACAAAUCAGGAGAAGGCAGCAGCUGGCAUCAAUGGUGUGGUGAGGAGAGAAUCAAGUUUCCUUCUCCAGUUCAAACAGACGAAAGUGAAGCGACAUAGGCUCAAGGACAGGGUCACUGGGCUAGCGCCACACCAUGGAGCCAAACCCCGAGCCUUCUAAAUUGUGAGCUGGGCAUGGUGGUUCACCCCAGGAAUCGCAGCACUGAGGGAUGAAGGCGAGAGAGUCACUGUGGGUGUGACAUCAGUCUGGCCUGAAGUCUGAGACUGUUUUUUUAAAAAGAAAACAUUUUUUUAUGUCAUAUAUUUAAUUAUAUAAAGAUUCUGUUGUUUUGUUGUUGUUGUUGUUAAAAUUCAGCCAGGAAAUUUC
rnacentral:lncRNA from 1 species